GACGAACGCUGGCGGCGUGCUUAACACAUGCAAGUCGAACGGAAAGGCCCUGCUUGCAGGGUACUCGAGUGGCGAACGGGUGAGUAACACGUGGGUGAUCUGCCCUGCACUUCGGGAUAAGCCUGGGAAACUGGGUCUAAUACCGGAUAGGAGCCAUUUUUAGUGUGAUGGUUGGAAAGUUUUUUCGGUGUAGGAUGAGCUCGCGGCCUAUCAGCUUGUUGGUGGGGUAAUGGCCUACCAAGGCGGCGACGGGUAGCCGGCCUGAGAGGGUGGACGGCCAUAUUGGGAGGGAGUCCGGCCCCAGACCCCUAGGGGGGGAGGGGGGGGGGAAUUUGGAACAAGGGGCGCAGGCUGGAUGCGGCGCCGCCGGGGGGGGGAGGACGGCCUUGGGGUUGAAACCCCUUUUCGCGAGGGACAAGGCUUUUUGUGACGGUACCUAGAUAAGAAGCCCCGGCUAACUACGUG
rnacentral:rRNA from 1 species